AGGUACGAUCAUACCAGCGUUAAUGCAUCCGAUCCCAUCAGAACUCCGCAGUUAAGCGCGCUUGGGCCAGAGUAGUACUGGGGUGGGUGACCUCUCGGGAAGUCUUGGUGUUGCACCCU
rnacentral:rRNA from 1 species